rnacentral:lncRNA from 1 species
GGAGCAGAGACUAAAGAUUUUCUCGCUCCGGGGAUGACUACUUGGCCUCCGGUCUGUGCAGCCGGCGGAAACGGAGUGCUUUACGCUUGCUGCCGCCGUGAUCUGAUGGUGAUGAAUGGUGACACGUGGCAGAAAGUUGGGGAUUUACCUGCUGACGUGUGUAAUGUAUCAUACGUGGCGGUAAGGAGGUCUGGUAAGCUGGUCGUUAUCGGUUCGGCUCGGUACGGUGAACCAAGCGUAGGGUACAUUUGGCAUACGAGUGAUUCUCGCUGGGAGAAGCUGGAAACGUGUGAAAAAUAUGAAGGUCACGUUCAAGCUGGUUGUUUCUUGGAGAUAUAACACGAGGAUGCAAGAUUGGUCGGUUGGUUUCUUUCGGUUCAUGGAAUCAUGGUGUGACUGUACAAAUAUUCUAUAGAUAUCCAAAAAAGGUUUAUAAGCUUGAGUGUUAAUUUGUUGUUGAUUCAUUUUAUAUUUUUGUGCUUCGUUUUGUUAAUAACACAGAUGAGUGUUCAAUUUUCAAAUCCAACAAACAAUGAGACAUAACACGAGUAACACGACAACGUUGAAUCGUUGUACUUUUGUCCUUUGAAGCUUCAUCUUUUGUGGAUCAAAAGAAUAAAGUUGGGCAUCUGGGCCUAUUUGGGCCACAUUAAGUUAUUAUGCAAGUUUAUAAAUCUACCGUUAAUCAUUGUUGUGUGAUGUUACCGAAAUUAGCGGUAGAUGAAUUAUAUACUCUCUUUUCUUUUGUAACUGAGAUGAAAUACAUCCUACCACGACCUCUUUCAAUGCAGAGCGAGAAAAGUAGGGAUGUUGUCGUGGGCUCAUUUCUAAAGGGUUAGCCCGGCCCGCAUGAAAAUUUAUAACCCAAAACCCGUAUUUUUUAAUGUGGGUUAAGAAUGGGCCGCCUAAUUUUACGCUAGGGUACCAAUAGGGUUAAUUAUUUUCCAUCUCUCUUUCAGUUAUACCGUACAACUCGACAUCGAAAUCAAAAUCAAAGGUUCUGGGUUUGUUCUGAAUCGAAAUCGAAGGCGAGGGGUUUGUCCUGAAUCGAAAUCGAAGGCUAUAUGUUCUUAUGAAGACGAAAAUGAAAUCGAAGGCUAGGGGUUUGUUCUGAAUCGAAAUCGAUGGCCCAUCUCACAUGGAUCUUCUGAAAACGAAAAUGAAAUCAAAGGUAUCUCUCGAUCUUCUGGGUUAUCUUCUCUUAGACUUGUAGACUUCUAGUUGUAUUUGUUUGCUUGAUUGACUUAUGGUUCUAUCUUACGCUAAUUGAGUUCCAUUGUGAUGGGCGUACUAGAUUAAUUAACGACACUUAUACCUUAGCUAAUUAAGAUCGAUGGCAAAUGCCAAAUCCAACGGCCAUCACAUCAUUCAAAUCCAAGAUGUCCCCAAUUAGUACACAAUAUCUCCAUCAUGAAAACCCAAAACCGCACAUCGUUUCUACUAACCGAUCGGUACUCUCUCCCGAAUUUCGUUACCUUGUCCUAUCCGUUUUCUUGUUCAAAGUAAUUCACAUACGUCUAUAGAACGAUGUUUACCUAAGAGCAAAAGAAUUCAACACAAACAUGUAACUUUUCCUUUUUAAUAAAGAACGUAACACUUACGUUUCUAUAAUAAAUAUUCACAUGUUCUUCUCGGAAGUCGGAAUCAUCAAAAUAUUACUCCCUCCGUUUUACAAAGAAUGUCACUUAGACAUUUUUCACAUAUAUUAAGUAACUCAUUAAAAUGCAUUUAUGUUUUCAUUAAUAUCACAUAUCUAACCAAUAGUAUUUUAGAUAAAUCGAGUUAUUUAUAAAAUCAAUACAUUUUGCAAUUAAUUUUGAGCUUAAAAAUUGUAUAAAUUGCAUUGGUAUUGUAGAAUGAUACUCUUUGUAAAACAAGAAAAAUGAGCUAAAGUGACACUUAAUACGAAACAGAUAGAGUAUAUAAUUUACACAAAUUGGAAAUAUUUUUAGGCAGUGUAGUGAAUGUAUUCAAUUAACACAAUAAAAUAAAAGUUUCUAGUAACGAAUUUAAAUUUCACUUUCAGUUUAUAGCUUCUAGAAGACUUAUCACUAUAAAGAUUAAAGCGGCAACACUCUUCUCUCUCACAUCAUCAAUUACUUCUCAACCCUGAACUGAAUCACAAUAUCAUAUUUCUCUUCAACGUUGAAAUUUAUACGACAAUAUGGAGCUGAUCCCUGAUCUUCCCGAGCCCGUAGCCCGCGAGUGCCUCCUACGCUCCUCCUACCAGCAAUUUCCUCUGAUCUCCUCUGUUUCCAAACUCUGGCGGCGAGAGAUCAGUCUCCCUGAUUUUCUCCGACACCGUAAAUCUUCAGGACACAGCCAGGAGCUUGUUGUCUUGUCCCAGGCUAGGAUCAAACCUGUUUCGGAACUCGGUUCGGGAAAAACCAUCCCUACUCCCGUGUACCGGAUCUCUGUUCUUGAACCAGAGUCCGGUUUAUGGACCGAGCUGCCUCCGGUUCCCGGCAAAUCCAACGGCUUGCCUCUGUUUUGUAGAUUAGCUUCUGUCGGGACGGAUCUUGUCGUGAUCGGGGGGCUUGACCCGGCCACGUGGCGGACCUCUGAUUCUGUCUUCAUCUUCAGCUUCUUGACUUCCACGUGGCGUAACGGGACGAGCAUGCCGGGUGGACCACGCUCCUUCUUCGCCUGCGCUUCUGAUUCUGAACGGAACGUGUUCGUCGCCGGUGGACACGACGAAGACAAGAACGCGCUGACGUCAGCUCUCGUGUACGACGUGGCAGAAGACAGAUGGGCUUUACUGCCAGACAUGGGCCGUGAACGAGACGAAUGCACGGCUAUUUUCCACGCUGGCAAAUUUCAGGUCAUAGGUGGUUACACCACGGUGGAGCAAGGGCAGUUUAGUAAAACCGCCGAGUCACUCGACGUCGCGACACGGCGGUGGGGAGCAGAGACUAAAGAUUUUCUCGCUCCGGGGAUGACUACUUGGCCUCCGGUCUGUGCAGCCGGCGGAAACGGAGUGCUUUACGCUUGCUGCCGCCGUGAUCUGAUGGUGAUGAAUGGUGACACGUGGCAGAAAGUUGGGGAUUUACCUGCUGACGUGUGUAAUGUAUCAUACGUGGCGGUAAGGAGGUCUGGUAAGCUGGUCGUUAUCGGUUCGGCUCGGUACGGUGAACCAAGCGUAGGGUACAUUUGGCAUACGAGUGAUUCUCGCUGGGAGAAGCUGGAAACGUGU